ACUCUGGCAGUGCAGUGCUUGCAGGUACAGAACAGGACAAUUUGAAUCAAGAAAUCUCUCUCCUUUCUUGCCUUGGAGCUGGCUGUGUCAAUCUUCAGUUUUCAAGGGGGAAAAAUCCCAGCCUGUGGAAUUUGUGGCUUUCUAAACCAUUCCUUUGUGCGGUGACUUCACAUCAGAGCAGAUCCUGCUUCUCCAGAGGGGUGGGAGCAGGGAUUGCUGGUCCACAGGAAAUUUUGGGUUAUGGGAGCUCUUCAACCAAACCCCAGUGACUCGCACAGCCUUGCAAGGGUUCAGUGAAUUACAGCAGCACUGGGAGGAAACUCUGACUGUGGGCUUUUAUACCUGAUUUAUAGCCCUCCUCAGGAGAGCACAGUGAGGACAAUGACUUUCACAUGCUGAGUCAAAUAAGAAACAGCCCAAACUUUGAAUUGUUUUGCUCUUUGACUACUCCAGAAAAUCACAGCACAUAGUUUGGACCUGUCUGGGGCUCAUAUAUCUUAUCUGAUGGAUGUUUUCUGGUGAGAAAUGAUGUUCUGAUUCAAUAAUGACUGAAAAUUCUGGGCUGAGCCCACCCUGAGCACUUGCUCUCUGUAGGGUCAUGUUUUGAUUUGCUUUCUGAAGCUGAAGCUGCUCCCAGUGGUGACGUCUCCUGGCUCCAGCAGCAUCCCUGGUCCCCAGGUGCUUCCCCUGACCUUCCAAAUGUUUUAUGGAAUAUAAAGUAUCUUUCUAUAAAGCAGAGCUGUUUUAGAAGGUUUAUUAACAUUUUAUAUAGUGUACAAUGUACUAAAGUAACGGUCCAAUUAUUUAUGUGACAAGAUGUCCCUGAAAAUGUUCAUAUCUGUGCUGUUUUAAUAAGGCACUAAAAAAAUACCAUAACCCUCUGCUGCUGAAGCUUCUCUGGGUAACAGCCCUCAAUUAUAU
rnacentral:lncRNA from 1 species